AGUUAUUCAACUCGCUUUGUUCUUUCGUGACUCAAUUGACUUAUCCAGCUCAAUCUAGUGGCAUCAAUCUAAAUCAUUUUGAUCUUAUCACUUCCAUCAAGUGUGGCAUUCACCCAUAUACCGUUUGGUUCCUAUCUUUUUAGAUAGUGGGCCACAGUUUGUUAUUUUCACCCAUUCCAUCACUAAGUGUUGACAUAGGAAUUUGGUCAAUACUCACCUAUAAUAUUGGUUCAUUCUUCAACCUUAUUUUAAACCCAACUUAGCCAAAUUAUCC
rnacentral:lncRNA from 1 species